AGCUCCAAUAGCGUAUAUUAAAGUUGUUGCAGUUAAAAAGCUCGUAGUUGAACUUUGGGCCCGGUUGGCCGGUCCGAUUUUUUCGUGUACUGGAUUUCCAACGGGGCCUUUCCUUCUGGCUAACCUUGAGUCCUUGUGGCUCUUGGCGAACCAGGACUUUUACUUUGAAAAAAUUAGAGUGUUCAAAGCAGGCGUAUUGCUCGAAUAUAUUAGCAUGGAAUAAUAGAAUAGGACGUUUGGUUCUAUUUUGUUGGUUUCUAGGACCAUCGUAAUGAUUAAUAGGGACGGUCGGGGGCAUCAGUAUUCAAUUGUCAGAGGUGAAAUUCUUGGAUUUAUUGAAGACUAACUACUGCGAAAGCAUUUGCCAAGGACGUUU
rnacentral:rRNA from 1 species